rnacentral:lncRNA from 1 species
CCCUGCUGUCUGCAUCUCCCUCAUCAGCUGCUUCUGAACAUGGUAAACUCGGUGCAUCUCAUGAACCUGGUUUGUAAGAUAUAGAAAUCAGUGAGAUAUAUAACUACCACUGGAAUGCUAGUUUUCAGAUUCUUUUUUCUGCAGCAAUUAAUAGGAAGGGUGUUCAACUUUGUAUUACAAGCUGCAGAUUAUAUUCAGAAGAAUAGUGUCUCCAUGAGAGUGCGGUCGUACCUGCUGUCUGAAUGUUUGUUCUUGCUCCAGGAUAGCCAUCUUCAUCUGCUCUCUAUCCAUCUCUUGGUAAUGGUAGCUGCAAGUCUCCUUUUUUAUGCCUAUCUCCUAUCUGUUUCAUAAGAAUAUCACAAUGAGUACGGCUUGGGACCAUGAAUAGCAAUAUGAUCUGCAUUUCAUUAUCAAAAUAUCUAUCAAAGUUCCUUGUUCCAUAAAUUGGUGACGUUAUUUUCCUAGGCUAUGUUCUGAUGAGUAAAUAUCAUUGUAAAUUUUUCUUCUUCUAGAUUUAUCACUUGUAGAAACCAAUUAUUUUGUGCAACUAAACUUGGAGGAACAAUUAUAUGGUAUCGCUUGAAUAGAUACACACCAGAAAACAAAACUAAAUACCAAAUAAUAUGAUUUAUCAGAUUAAGAUAUUAACUAAAGUAUGACUCUAUUCUUCUCUGAGAAAGUAUGACUCUGUUAUUCUGUAUAUUGGCAAGUUUUGCAGCCAUAACCUAUGCCUUGAUAAUACAACUGAUCAAAUAUUAUCCUUCUCUAACUAAUUGAACUAACACAAUCUUAUUCUUGCAGUUGCAGGCAUUGAUUCCCUCCACACGUUUGAAACAGCAUGCCUUAUCGCUUCUAAGAACGACUGUAAAUUGUUCUUUCUAUGACAGAGUAGCAAAACAGAGGCACGAAGGAGACAGAGAAUGGACUAGCUAAAAACGCCCUUUCAGACUGGCACAUACCAUGAAGCCUUCAGAAAAAAACACAUCAUCGCAAGAAGACAGAACUUUACAAGACAAAGAUCUGCAUACUCUGAACUCUGAAGCUUGCCACAAAUGUUCCAUGGAAGAAGAAACAAGACAAGGAAGAGAUCAGAAGAAGUUUCUGCUCAC